UACGAAGGGGGCUAGCGUUGUUCGGAUUUACUGGGCGUAAAGCGCACGUAGGCGGAUCGUUAAGUCGGGGGUGAAAUCCUGGAGCUCAACUCCAGAACUGCCUUCGAUACUGGCGAUCUUGAGUCCGGAAGAGGUGAGUGGAACUCCUAGUGUAGAGGUGGAAUUCGUAGAUAUUGGGAGGAACACCAGUGGCGAAGGCGGCUCACUGGACCGGAACUGACGCUGAGGCGCGAAAGCGUGGGGAGCAAACGGG
rnacentral:rRNA from 1 species